AUGUGGACGCCGUCGCGAGGGCUGGGCAGCGGCCGCCGUGCCGGGCUCCGGCGCAUCGCGGAUUACAUCGGCGACGACCACACCGACGCGUCUGACAACGAGUCGUUCAUCACGUCGCACAGCGACGAGCUCCUCGCGUCGACGUCGGCCGCGGGCGGUAUGCUGCCGGCGUUUCUCGCGGACCAGAGCGACCUCGUGGAGGUCAUGCUGGAGCUGGACGAGGAGUCCAUGGUGGUGCGCAGCGUGACGCCCACCGCGGGGCCAUCGGCGUCGGCCGGGGCAGGGACGCACACGCCGGGGAGUGGGCGCAACCUCAGCCGGAGCUCGUCGACCUCGUCCAAGAUACGCAGGACGUUCGCGUGGCUGCGGUCGCCGGCGGCGGCGCCCGAGCAGCCACGGGAGGCGGCGAUGGCGUCCCGAGAGCGGCGCCGCGUGCAGGCCAGGCUGGACCGCUCGCUGUCCGGCGCGAGGCGCGCGCUGAAGGGCCUCCGGUUCAUCAGCCGCGCCACGGGCUCCACCGAGGCCACCGCGCUCUGGGGCGCCGUCGAGGAGCGCUUCGACGCCCUCUCCCGCGACGGCCUCCUCGCCCGCGACGACUUCGGCGACUGCAUCGGGAUGGUGGACUCGAAGGAGUUCGCGGUGGGCAUCUUCGACGCGCUGGCGAGGCGGCGGCGGCAGAACCUCCAGCGGGUCACCAAGGAGGAGCUCCGCGACUUCUGGCUCCAAAUCUCCGACCAGAGCUUCGACGCGCGGCUGCAAAUCUUCUUCGACAUGGUGGACACCAACGUCGACGGGAGGAUCACGAGGGAGGAAGUGCAGGAGCUGAUCGUUCUGAGCGCGUCGGCGAACAAGCUCUCGAAGCUGAAGGAGCAGGCCGAGGAGUACGCGCUGCUCAUCAUGGAGGAGCUCGACCCUGAGGGCCUCGGCUACAUAGAGCUGUGGCAGCUGGAGGCGCUGCUCCUGCAGCGCGACGCCUACAUGAGCUACAGCCGGCCGCUCAGCAGCGGCAGCGGCAGCGCAGCGCAGUGGAGCCAGGACAUCGGCGACGGAGGCGCGCAGGAGAAGCCGGCGACGACGGCGGCGCCAGGACGGGGCAGGUGGCAGCGGUGGAGCCCGCGGCGCGCGGCGGGGAGGGCGCGCGUGGCGGCGGAGGAGAACUGGCGGCGCGCGUGGGUGCUCGCGCUGUGGGUCGCGGCGAUGGCGGCGCUGUUCGCGUGGAGGUUCGCGCAGUACCGGCGGUCGGUGGCGUUCGAGGUGAUGGGGUACUGCCUGCCGACGGCCAAGGGCGCCGCCGAGACGCUGAAGCUCAACAUGGCGCUCGUGCUCCUCCCCGUCUGCCGCAUCACGCUCACGCGGCUCCGCUCCUCCUGGGCGCGCUUCCUCGUGCCCUUGGACGACUGCAUCGCCUUCCACAAGGUGAUAGCCAUGGCGAUCGCGGCGGGGAUCUGCCUGCACGCGGGGAACCAUCUGGCGUGCGACUUCCCGCGGCUGAUCGCGUCGAGCCCGGGGGAGUACCGGCCGCUGGCCGGCUUCUUCGGGGAGGAGAGGCCGACGUACAGGAGCCUGCUGUCCGGCGUGGUGGGCGUGACCGGGGUGGUGAUGGUGGUGCUGAUGGCCGUGUCCUUCACCCUGGCGGCCCGGCCGCUGCGGAGGGCGCCCACCCGGACCCGGCUGCCCUCCCCGCUGGGCCACCUCGCCGGGUUCAACGCCUUCUGGUACUCCCACCACCUGCUCGUCGUCGUCUACCUCCUGCUGCUCGUGCACGGCUGGUUCAUCUUCCUCGUCACCAAGUGGUACCAGAGGACGACAUGGAUGUACAUAGCCGUACCGUUCGCCCUUCACGUCGGUGAACGAACGCUGCGAGCGCUGCGUUCCAAGGCCUACGCGGCCAAGAUCCUCAAGGUGUGCCUUCUACCAGGAAACGUGCUGACCAUAACGAUGUCAAAGCCCUACGGGUUCAGAUACAGAAGCGGACAAUAUGUUUUCCUUCAGUGCCCAACAAUUUCUCCGUUUGAAUGGCACCCCUUCUCCAUCACUUCAGCCCCUGGAGACGACUACAUCAGUGUUCAUAUCCAGACCAGGGGAGACUGGACACAAGAGCUCAAGCACAUCUUCGUCGAGAACUACUUCUCGCCAUGCCUGCCCAGCAGAGCUUCAUUUGGCGAGCUAGGCAUGCCAGAACAGAAGAGUCCUCCGAGGUUGCUUGUCGACGGCCCGUAUGGUGCUCCGGCGCAGGAUUUCAGGAACUACGACGUCUUGCUUCUCGUCGGCCUCGGGAUCGGCGCGACGCCUUUCAUAAGCAUUCUAAGGGAUCUGCUCAACAACAUUAAGCUGGCUGAUGAGCUGAUGGACCUAUCAAUGGAGACCAGCAGGUCCGAGGACAGCAGCAACACCUUCAGCGUGUCGACGGCGAGCAGCAACAAGAGGAGAGCGUACCGGACAAGCCGCGCGCAUUUCUACUGGGUUACGAGGGAGCCCGGAUCGUUCGAGUGGUUUAAGAGCGUGAUGGAUGAGGUUGCUGAAAUGGACAAGAAGGGUGUCAUAGAGCUGCACAACUAUCUCACAAGCGUGUACGAGGAGCGCGACGCAAGGACGACUCUGCUCUCUAUGGUGCAAGCCCUCAACCAUGCCAAGAAUGGUAUAGACAUAGUAUCAGGCACCAGGGUCAGGACACAUUUUGCAAGACCUAACUGGAGGGAAGAGUUCACAAGAAUCUCUGCCAAGCACCCCGGUUCGACAGUUGGGGUCUUUUACUGUGGCAAGCCCACACUAGCUAAAGAACUGAAGAAACUAUCACUUGAGAUGAGCCGCAAGACGAUGACUCGCUUCCAUUUCCAUAAGGAGUAUUUCUAA
rnacentral:rRNA from 1 species